rnacentral:sRNA from 1 species
GUUGGUGGAGCGAUUACAAGAAGAGAAAAGGAUCGAGGCUCAGAAGCGGAAGGAGCGGCAGGAAGCCCAUCUCUAUAUGCAAGUGCAGAUAGUCGCAGAGGACCAGUUUUGUGGCCACCAAGGAAAUGACAUGUACGAUGAAGAAAAAGUGAAAUACACUGUGUUCAAAGUAUUGAAGAACUCCUCGCUUGCCGAGUUUGUUCAGAGCCUCUCUCAGACCAUGGGAUUUCCACAAGAUCAAAUUCGAUUGUGGCCCAUGCAAGCAAGGAGUAAUGGAACAAAACGGCCAGCAAUGUUAGAUAAUGAAGCCGACGGCAAUAAAACAGUAAAUAUUGUUAAUAGCGUAUCUGGUUUGGAACUGUGCAGAAGGCGUUAGUCCUCUGCACUUAGUGCAGCUUGUUUCCCUUUUGGUCCGCUUAACUAGAAUUGGACGUUUUCUUCAGUACUUGACUGUAGUUUUUCGCUCUGUCACCUAAGCCAUUAGACUUCUAAAAUCAGCGUCUCUUUUGGAAAUAGAUGAUUGAGCUCAGUGAUAAUGAAAACCCUUGGACAAUAUUCCUGGAAA